GGCUGGAUAUUUUUUUCUCAUCUAUUCUUUAAUAAAAUUCUCAAAAAAAUUAUUAGGUCCUAAAAAUGAUUAAGUUAUAUUGAUAACUAAGUCAUUGCCUCUCAUUAAGUGAGUGAUAAUGAGUCCAUUAGUUUAAUAAUCAUUGGAGGCCUAAAGGCCUGGUGCUUAUUGACUAAUGGAAUUAUCAUUCAUAAUAUGAUAAUUUGGUU
rnacentral:lncRNA from 1 species